rnacentral:rRNA from 1 species
GAUGAACGCUGGCGGCGUGCGUAACACAUGCAAGUCGAACGAAGCAUAUGGACGGAAGUUUUCGGAUGGAAGACCAUAUGACUGAGUGGCGGACGGGUGAGUAACGCGGGGGUAACCUGCCUCAUACAGGGGGAUAACAGUGAGAAAUUGAUGCUAAUACCGCAUAAGCGCACAGGACCGCAUGGUCCGGUGUGAAAAACUCCGGUGGUAUGAGAUGGACCAGCGUAUGAUUAGCUAGUUGGUAAGGUAAGGGCGUACCAAGGCGACGAUCAGUAGCCGGCCUGAGAGGGCGACCGGCCACACUGGGACUGAGACACGGCCCAGACUCCUACGGGAGGCAGCAGUGGGGAAUAUUGCACAAUGGGGGAAACCCUGAUGCAGCGACGCCGCGUGAAGGAAGAAGUAUUUCGGUAUGUAAACUUCUAUCAGCAGGGAAGAAAAUGACGGUACCUGACCAAGAAGCCCCGGCUAAUUACGUGCCAGCAGCCGCUGUAAUAC